rnacentral:rRNA from 1 species
GACGAACGCUGGCGGCGUGCUUAACACAUGCAAGUCGAGCGGUAAGGCCCUUUCGGGGGUACGACGAGCGGCGAACGGGUAGAGUAACACGUGGGUGGACCUGCCCUCCAGCUCUGGGAGUAAGCCUGGGAAACCGGGUCUAAUACUGGAUAUGACUCCAUGACGCAUGUUGUGGGGUGGAAAGCCUUGUGCGGCUGAGGAUGGGCCCGCGGCCUAUCAGCUUGUUGGUGGGGUGAUGGCCUACCAAGGCGACGACGGGUAGCCGGCCUGAGAGGGCGACCGGCCACACUGGGACUGAGACACGGCCCAGACUCCUACGGGA